UUCACACUAUAAAGCUACCAAAUGAUUCUUAUAUCUAGAUUCAUAAAAGUAAAAAUAUGGUUAAAUUUUAUAUGUUUACUUAUGUUAUGGUUAUCUUUUUUUCCAUAAUAAUUUCUAUAGCAAAUAGCUGUAAGUAAUUUUUAUUAUCGUUUUUAAAUUAGCUUUGAAAAUUUAGUUUGAUAUACUGGUAUUUUUAUACAAAAUUUAAUAUCAUAUGAUAUUUUUAUAUUAAUUUAUAGGGUUAAAUAAAUUUUUUUGUCCCUAUAAAUAUGUUAAAUUUUGCUUUUAGUUCCAAUAAAAAAUUUCAGCAAGUUUUAGUUCUCAAAUAUCUUUUGUACCAUUAUCAUCUCUACUUUUAAGAGAACUCAUCUAUAUAUAGUUUUGGGUUUACAACGGAGUAAGCAAUAAUCGAAUUUAGGACCUCAUGCAUAUUACCUAACCUAGUGGAUUGUCAACUCAUCUAUAUUACUUAAAAAAUUUAUUAUUNNNNNNNNNNNNNNNUACAUUGUAUAAACCUCUUUGACAAAACUUUAAUUUCCCGAUCAAUAUUUUAUAAGUUUUAAUGAGUUUUUAUAUUUAUAUUUAUAAUAAUAUAAAAAUCUCUCCCUUCAAAAUUUAGUUUUUUUACAACACAUUGGAUGAAUUAGAUAUGAAUUUCUAACUUUUUGGCGCAUAAAAAAAUCAUAUUUAAUUCAUCAAAUUUAAUAAAUUCUAAAUUAUUGUGGGAGAUAUUUUUUAUAUAAUUAUAAAUAUAAAUUAAAACUCGUUAAAAAAUAUGAAAGUAUACAUGAGUUGACUUAAAAAUAAGAAUUAAUAGUUAUGAAAUAAAAUAUUUAGGAGACAAAAUCAACUUGCUGAAAUUGUUUAUAUAGACGUAAAAUAAAUUUUAAGAAUAUUUAUACGGUUUAAAAACUUGUUUAACCGUAAUCUUUAUUAAUAUAAUUUUAAAUUUUAAAUGAUUGUUAUCUAACUUUGAUAUAUGUAUAAGGAUUUCUAAUAUUUUUUACCUUUAAAUUUUCUUAUUCAAAUUGUUUCACCCUCAUUUUGAUAAAGUUCCUUAAUUCUUAAUAGUGUUCCUCACCAUGUGCCGAAGUAACGAUGAUUGUCGAAAUCUUUCGUGUAUUGAUGGUACAAUUCCAACCUGUGGGUUUCCAUUUCAUGUGACCGGAUCUGAGGGAUUUGGACUUUGUGGAUGUAUACGUCGUUUAAAUUAGUGGCUUGUGAAUGUAUACUUAUGUACAAAGCAGUAAAAUUUAAUUAAAAUAAAAAUAAAAUUAUGUUGCUGCUAUCUUGAGUGGAUUAGUUUUCGCAGUUGCGCACGGAUG
rnacentral:lncRNA from 1 species